CGUUAAAGAGUUCAAAAAGUUGGUGCAUUCGUGCAGCUGCGAGUUGCUUGGAUUCGGCUAAAACUCAGAGCUCGUGAAGAGUGAAGAUAUUUUUAGGAAAAAGUUAUCUAAGUAAAUGGGUUUCACCCCCAUCUGCUGCAGCCCGUGUGACACUAUUUGGACAUUUAAUGACGUCGCCAGCCUCCCCUAGUUGGCUGUGACCACCUGGAGCGCAGGAGCUAAAUUUCAGCCUGGGGGCCUCAGGUGCUUAGCGCAGCGUCUGGGAUAAAUUAAGUGACGUAGGAGGAGACGAGAAGCUUGCAGCGUGACGAUAGCAGUAGCAUUGGAGUGCUUGCUGGGGCCCAGGCACUGAGCCACACUCUACAAGGAUUCAUUCAAUCCUCACACAGCGUAAGAGAAGGUGGUGCAAUAGCUCAAGUUUUUGGCUUCUCCUCACCUGAGCUGGUUCUGGAGCUGCACUCUCGGGACUGCAUGUAAAAGAAGCCAGUCCUGAAACGGCAACAGAGUGAACACUUACCGCUCUAACGAGACCAACAGGCAAGUUCGGAAAGAGUGAAUUACACGAGCUGUCAUCCCUGACUAAAGCCUCCCGCCUCCCGCCUCCCAGGGGCUCUCAGCCCACCUCGGAGAGCUUUAGGAGCGCCAGCAAAGUAGGACUGAGCGUGAGCAGUCUUCCGUCACCUGCUGUUACUGCUCCCACCAAGCCCUCGGAGGUUCUCAGCCCCGCGGCGGCAGUCUGCUAGGGAGCCCACAUAUUCCAAGGGGUAAACAAAAACCACAAACGUCCUCUUCAAAGUGGAGAGUAUGGAGAAGGGGUGAUAGUGGAAAAUACUGGAGGAGGGAGAACACACAGAAAGGCCCAGUUAGUCAGGACUCACUUGGGUUGCGCGUGAUGCUGAUAUCCCGGUCCCAGCUGAGAUCCUGCUCUCAUCUCCACAGCCACAGAACACUGAGGAAAAUUACAGAAGAGGGAAAGAUCAGCUCCUCUCUCUACAGUCUACAAACCCAGUUCUGCUCAGACGGUUCAACCGCGGUGGAAUCCCACAUUGCUUUCUAGUGCAGCACAGACACCUAUGUUAAAGUACCAGAUACGUGCAGUUUAUUUGACAUAGGCCACAAAGAUGGUGAGCUGGAAGGGUCUCUGGAGUAUGCAGGUAAUUUUCUUGGGAAGGCUGGCACCCAGGGCCAGCGCCUGCCCUUCCUGUGCUCUUUCAGAGUAACAGUAAUAGUUCCAUGGGAACUUGUGCUCCUGUGAGGAUUCCCAUCAAUUUGAUGUGAAUUGUUGUUACUCUACAGUGAUGCGCUCUGACUCGAUUCUCAGGCCCUAUCCCUCUACACUGCAGACAGGGACCUAGAACCAGAGAGCUCCAGUAGGAGCAGACCCAAACAAACGUGAGAACCUUGGCAGGUUUGCGGAGAACAGGCCUGCAGGCUGCACAGGCGAUGCGAGGUCAGGCCUCAGCUGCUUCCGAGAGCGGGAGAAGCUGGAGCCGGGGGGUUAAGAUAGGUCGCCCCUAACUGUUAUGAAGCAGACAAAUACUUGAUUUUCACGCCUACCCUGGUCUCUACGUCAGUCCAUUCAGACUCUGUGCCAUCUGGUGCAGCAGGCGCCGCUGUGGAAGACCUUCGCUUUCGACUGGAAAAAGGGGCAACAAGACGCAACAAUUAUUUUUGCAUCUAAGAAGAGGAAAAAUACUAGAAAUAGGGUAUCACUGCACUCCUUCUGAUAAUGCUACCUCUUAGAGGAUGUGUUCUGCAAGAAUAAGCAGCUAAGAAAACUACGGCCCUCUAAAGAGAGACAUCCGAGGAUCACUCACCCAGUUGGCGAUUCUUGUUUUAAAGUCUCGAUAUCCGUAAACUGAACAGACUGUCCACCACCUCUUGUUUUAUAAACAUCACCCUGAAGCCGAGAGAAAAGGUCAGCGUUAUGCUUUGAUGUACCUGAAUGAUGAACAUGUAAUUCAAACUGAGCUUAAGAUUCUCCAUGAAACAGUAAAUAAAGUCCUAGUCACAAAACCAGAUGGUGCUUCAGACUGUGCUAUUAAAAUACUUCAGAAAUUCUCUCACUAAACAAAAGUCCAGUGCAAUAUAAUCAGUAACAUUCUUAAAUUGCAAAAAAUAAUACUCCUUUUUGUUCAAUCUAUAAUUUAAAAACUGCACCAAGGAUUAAGAAAUCUACCAGAAAUUUCUAAGUGUUCUAAGGCAUUAUGCUUUCCUCUGGGUAUACCACCCCCUUCAUGUUAUAGUCUUAUUGGUGACUCCGGCUGUAAUUAAACCAUCCUCUAAACUUUU